CCGCGGUAACACCGGCGGCCCGAGUGGUGAUCGUGAUUAUUGGGUCUAAAGGGUCCGUAGCCGGUUUGGUCAGUCCUCCGGGAAAUCUGAUAGCUCAACUAUUAGGCUUUCGGGGGAUACUGCCAGACUUGGAACCGGGAGAGGUAAGAGGUACUACAGGGGUAGGAGUGAAAUCUUGUAAUCCCUGUGGGACCACCUGUGGCGAAGGCGUCUUACCAGAACGGGUUCGACGGUGAGGGACGAAAGCUGGGGGCACGAACCGGAUUAGAUACCCGGGUAGUCCCAGCCGUAAACGAUGCUCGCUAGGUGUCAGGCAUGGCGCGACCGUGUCUGGUGCCGCAGGGAAGCCGUGAAGCGAGCCACCUGGGAAGUACGGCCGCAAGGCUGAAACUUAAAGGAAUUGGCGGGGGAGCACAACAACGGGUGGAGCCCUGCGGUUUAAUUGGACUCAACGCCGGACAACUCACCGGGGGCGACAGCAAUAUGUAGGCCAAGCUGAAGACUUUGCCUGAAUCGCUGAGAAGAGGUGCAUGG
rnacentral:rRNA from 1 species